UCGGGCAUGGUGUACGGCACACCACUGGCUCUCGUAUUUCCCCUUCAAUCACGUUACCAGCAGUCCGGGGUUCGAUUCCCUGUGCCCGAA